CAGCUCCAAUAGCGUAUACUAAAGCUGCUGCGGUUAAAAAGCUCGUAGUUGGAUCUCAGUUCCAGACGAGUAGUGCAUCUACCCGAUGCGACGGCUCGGACUGAACAUCAUGCCGGUCCUUUCUUGGUGCACUUCAUUGUGUGCCUCGAGAAGGCCGGUGCUUUUACUUUGAAAAAAUUAGAGUGCUCAACGCAGGCGAGUCGCCUGAAUAAACUUGCAUGGAAUAAUAGAACAAGACCUCGUUUCUGUUCUGUUGGUUUUUGGAAUACGAGGUAAUGAUUAAGAGGGACAGACGGGGGCAUUUGUAU
rnacentral:rRNA from 1 species